CCCUUAGAUGUUCUGGGCUGCACGCGUGCUACAAUGGCGUUUCCAGCAAGUCUGCGAACCCGAGAGGGCCAGCGGAUCUUCGAAUUGGCGUCGUGAUCGGGACAGUCGAUUGCAAUUAUUUGACUCAAACGAGGAAUUCCUUGUAAUCGCAAUUCAUCAUAUCGCGCUGAAUACGUCCCUGCCCUUUGUACACACCGCCCGUCGCUCCUACCGAUUGAGCGAUCCGGUAAAUGUUUUGGAUUGGUGCCGGGGCGGCUAGCUGCCGGUCGCUACGAAAUUUUGUGAACCUUAUCGCUUAGAGGAAGGAAAAGUCGUAACA
rnacentral:rRNA from 1 species